UUUGCGUCGAAGGUAUACCGGUAAGGAGUGCUGGAGCGAAUAGAAGUGAGCAUGCAGGCAUGAGUAGCGAUAAUUAAUGUGAGAAUCAUUAACGCCGUAAACCCAAGGUUUCCUACGCGAUGCUCGUCAUCGUAGGGUUAGUCGGGUCCUAAGUCGAGUCCGAAAGGGGUAGACGAUGGCAAAUUGGUUAAUAUUCCAAUACCAACAUUAGUGUGCGAUGGAAGGACGCUUAGGGCUAAGGGGGCUAGCGGAUGGAAGUGCUAGUCUAAGGUCGUAGGAGGUUAUACAGGCAAAUCCGUAUAACAAUACUCCGAGAACUGAAAGGCUUUUUGAAGUCUUCGGAUGGAUAGAAGAACCCCUGAUGCCGUCGAGCCAAGAAAAGUUUCUAAGUUUAGCUAAUGUUGCCCGUACCGUAAACCGACACAGGUGGGUGGGAUGAGUAUUCUAAGGCGCGUGGAAGAACUCUCUUUAAGGAACUCUGCAAAAUAGCACCGUAUCUUCGGUAUAAGGUGUGGUUAGCUUUGUAUUAGGAUUUACUCCGAAAGCAAGGAAACUUACAACAAAGAGUCCCUCCCGACUGUUUACCAAAAACACAGCACUCUGCUAACUCGUAAGAGGAUGUAUAGGGUGUGACGCCUGCCCGGUGCUCGAAGGUUAAUUAAUGGGGUUAGCAUUAGCGAAGCUCUUGAUCGAAGCCCGAGUAAACGGCGGCCGUAACUAUAACGGUCCUAAGGUAGCGAAAUUCCUUGUCGGUUAAAUACCGACCUGCAUGAAUGGCGUAACGAGAUGGGAGCUGUCUCAAAGAGGGAUCCAGUGAAAUUGUAGUGGAGGUGAAAAUUCCUCCUACCCGCGGCAAGACGGAAAGACCCCGUGGACCUUUACUACAGCUUGACACUGCUACUUGGAUAAGAAUGUGCAGGAUAGGUGGGAGGCUUUGAGUAUAUGACGCCAGUUGUAUAUGAGCCAUUGUUGAGAUACCACUCUUUCUUAUUUGGGUAGCUAACCAGCUUGAGUUAUCCUCAAGUGGGACAAUGUCUGGUGGGUAGUUUGACUGGGGCGGUCGCCUCCCAAAUAAUAACGGAGGCUUACAAAGGUUGGCUCAGAACGGUUGGAAAUCGUUCGUAGAGUAUAAAGGUAUAAGCCAGCUUAACUGCAAGACAUACAAGUCAAGCAGAGACGAAAGUCGGUCUUAGUGAUCCGGUGGUUCUGUGUGGAAGGGCCAUCGCUCAAAGGAUAAAAGGUACCCCGGGGAUAACAGGCUGAUCUCCCCCAAGAGCUCACAUCGACGGGGAGGUUUGGCACCUCGAUGUCGGCUCAUCGCAUCCUGGGGCUGGAGCAGGUCCCAAGGGUAUGGCUGUUCGCCAUUUAAAGCGGUACGCGAGCUGGGUUCAGAACGUCGUGAGACAGUUCGGUCCCUAUCUGCCGUGGGCGUAAGAAGAUUGAAGAGAUUUGACCCUAGUACGAGAGGACCGGGUUGAACAAACCACUGGUGUAGCUGUUGUUCUGCCAAGAGCAUCGCAGCGUAGCUAAGUUUGGAAAGGAUAAACGCUGAAAGCAUCUAAGCGUGAAGCCAACUCUAAGAUGAAUCUUCUCUAAGCUCUCUAGAAGACUACUAGUUUGAUAGGCUGGGUGUGUAAUGGAUGAAAGUCCUUUAGCUGACCAGUACUAAUAGAGCGUUUGGCUUAUCUUUAAUAAAGCAU
rnacentral:rRNA from 1 species